rnacentral:rRNA from 1 species
AUACGGAAGGUCCGGGCGUUAUCCGGAUUUAUUGGGUUUAAAGGGAGCGCAGGCGGAGAUGCAAGCGUGACUUCAAAUUUCGGGGCUCAACCCCGUCUCGCGUCGCGAACUGCGUCCCUUGGUUGCGGGAAGGGGAGGCGGAACUCGUGGUGUAGCGGGGAAAUGCAUAGAUAUCACGAAGAACUCCGAUCGCGAAGGCAGCCUUCCGGCCCGUCAACGACGCUCAUGCUCGAAGGUGCGGGUAUCAAACAGGAUUAGAUACCCUGGUAGUCCGCACAGUAAACGAUGGACACCCGCGGUUUGGCCUGUAUGGCUGAGCCGCCAAGCGAAAGCGUUAAGUGUCCCACCUGGGGAGUACGCCGGCAACGGUGAAACUCAAAGGAAUCGACGGGG